rnacentral:rRNA from 1 species
UACGUAGGGUGCGAGCGUUGUCCGGAAUUAUUGGGCGUAAAGAGCUCGUAGGCGGCCUGUCGCGUCGGAUGUGAAAGCCCGGGGCUUAACCCCGGGUCUGCAUUCGAUACGGGCAGGCUAGAGUGUGGUAGGGGAGAUCGGAAUUCCUGGUGUAGCGGUGAAAUGCGCAGAUAUCAGGAGGAACGCCGGUGGCGAAGGCGGAUCUCUGGGCCAUUACUGACGCUGAGGAGCGAAAGCGUGGGGAGCGAACAGG